rnacentral:lncRNA from 1 species
CAAAUAUUACAUAUAUAAAACUUUUUGCAAUUGCCGACGUGGUCCUCUGCCACCUCCGAUGGUGGAAGAAAAUUAGGGGAAAAAUGAUCAUUCCAUGAAUCAAACAGUUUCUUAGAGGAAGCUUAGGAACAGUGAGGAAAUGACUAGUUCAUUCCCUGGAAUCAAAGAUACCCUUUUUGUAUGGAUACUCCAAAGAUGCAGGAGAAUAACAUAAAAAUGAUUGGAAACAAAGCAAGAGCAAACAUCUAAAGAUUUAACAAAGUGUAGAUUCCUAGCACAAAAAUAGAGGAUACAAAUCCACUUAAAACAAAAGGAAACAAUACUAUGGAAUAUCUCACAUGAUCACUUAAAGAAAAGGGUUUUUCUUUCUUUCUACCCAAUAUAUAGACAAGGCCUAUCAUUUGUAAGUACAACUUCCGUCAUCACUUCUAGCAGUGGGGUCAAAGUUAUCCGCACCUGGAUCAGUACAACCUUCAGGAACUGGAACACCAAUUUGCUGGGCUGCUUUGCCUGCAACACCACCAACAAUAGAGAAAAGAGCGAAGAGCUGGUGAAUACUUCUUUUUUGAAUACAAGAUAACAUUACUCGGCGUGCAAAUUUAGAUGCAAACCUCCCAUCAAGGCCUCUAGGAUAAAGGGGUCUAACCGUAGAAAGUUCCUCUCUUGAUAGAAUCCUCAUUGGCGUCUCCAAGAGCAGCCUCGCUCAAGUACUUGUCAGCCAAUUGGACUCUCUUCACAUUCUCUUGCUCUGCAACAAGCAUGUUUCCGUACUCCAGGAGCUUCUCGAUGGUCAUCUUGGGUUGCUCGAAAGUUGGAGGUCCUUCCCUUGAGUUCACCAGUUUCUUGCCGACG